rnacentral:rRNA from 1 species
UACGUAGGGGGCUAGCGUUGUCCGGAUUUAUUGGGCGUAAAGAGCGUGUAGGCGGCCGGGUAAGUCCGGUGUGAAAACUCGAGGCUUAACCUCGAGAUGUCAUCGGAAACUAUUCGGCUAGAGUCCGGAAGAGGAGAGUGGAAUUCCUGGUGUAGCGGUGAAAUGCGCAGAUAUCAGGAAGAACACCCGUGGCGAAAGCGGCUCUCUGGGACGGUACUGACGCUGAGACGCGAAAGCGUGGGGAGCGAACAGG